AAAAAGAGUAAAAUACAUGUUCAGCCUACUCAUGAGCCCAACAAGCCCAGCCCGUCAUGGCAUCAUAUAUGAGAUUUUUCCAAAUCUGUCGCUAAAUUGCUAUCGUUCCUCAACCGUUUCAGACGCAAUUUACUCACGCUCGGGACGAUUCUGCGCCUAUAAAAACACCAGAAGACGCAAAAAUCAGGGUCCAAGCUUUUAGAGCCAGAAACCAC
rnacentral:lncRNA from 1 species